AUUGAACGCUGGCGGCAUGCCUUACACAUGCAAGUCGAACGGUAACGGGCCUUCGGGUGCCGACGAGUGGCGAACGGGUGAGUAAUGCAUCGGAACGUACCCAUCAGUGGGGGAUAACUCUCCGAAAGGAGGGCUAAUACCGCAUAUUCUGUGCGCAGGAAAGCGGGGGACCGCAAGGCCUCGCGCUGAUGGAGCGGCCGAUGUCAGAUUAGCUAGUUGGUGGGGUAAAGGCCUACCAAGGCGACGAUCUGUAGCGGGUCUGAGAGGAUGAUCCGCCACACUGGGACUGAGACACGGCCCAGACUCCUACGGGAGGCAGCAGUGGGGAAUUUUGGACAAUGGGGGCAACCCUGAUCCAGCCAUGCCGCGUGAGUGAAGAAGGCCUUCGGGUUGUAAAGCUCUUUCGGCCGGGAAGAAAUCGCAUCUCCUAAUACGGGGUGUGGAUGACGGUACCGGAAUAAGAAGCACCGGCUAACUACGUGCCAGCCGCCGCGGUAAGAC
rnacentral:rRNA from 1 species